GCUAUUGUGGUAAUAUCAAACGUUGAAGGCUGAAAUUUUUUGAAACUGAUGGAAGCAGACUCUCACAUUGCAUACACCAACCUAAAGAAACCAUGUUUCAGGACUUUUCUCAGUUUUCUCAAAUAAAAGAGGAAGAAACAGAAGGGGACAGCACUUCCUAAAGCAAGAUUGCUUUUGAAGCUUGUUAUGAUUUGAUAAUUGAGGUCACCCAGGAUGGUUGUGGAACCUCCAGCCUGGAAAAAAAUUCAGUGCUUAGCUGUGUAUGACUGAGCAACCUGAUAUGACUUGAGACUUACUUCUAAAUCCAAAGCCAGCUUGGCCCUGGGUGGGAGCUGGAAUCAGGUGACUCCAGAAAUCCUUUCAUUCAUUGUUGUUUUUGAGUUAUAUGUUUCUGUCUUUGUCAAUUGUUGGUCUAUUAUCCAACUCAGGUCCCAUUUUAAUUUAUCAAUUAUAAAGUGAUGAGAGCUGCUGACUCUGAAAUCGAUCAAGAAUCAACAUUAAGGCCAUCACUGAUUUACUCCAAUACACAUGAACCUUAACUCAUGCACAGCUGCUGUGGCUGUUUCAGGAAGGAACACACGAUUCUUUCUCUCCCCCCAGUUCCUGCUCAUUUAUGCAUUCAGGUGAUCCCUGUGGUGACCUACACUUCCAUAGGGGUUCUGCCAGUGAGUUAUUGCAGAAGCUCUCAAUCAUACGGAGAAACUCCUCUACAUUCUUUAUUUCAAAUGUAACAAUUUUUUUUUACUCCCUUACAAAGCACAGAAUUCUCAGUAACUUAGACUCUUGCAGAAUAAAGUCCAUAAUUUGAAAUGAAAAUGCUUUGUUGGAAUUUUUGCUGAGUUUCAUCUUAAUUUUAUUAAAGAUAAUCUUUUCCUGCAUAACAGAACAUAUAAAGUGAAAGCUAAAAUAGAAAUUUAGCUGUCACAAAGGCAGAGCAAUUGACUUUCAGGGACUGCCAAUCAAUGGCAAUUUUAAAUCUGCUGGGGACCUUCAGGUGUUUAGGGAUUCUCAGUUUUUCCAAGGUUAGUGAUUAGAGGUAUUAAUAGGCUUUAAAGAACUUUUUAUUUCAUAUUAAAUUGUUGCCCAAUUGAAACAAUAGGCAAGUCUCAAAGUUAGAAAAAGAAAACAAAACAUAUUCCAUCUUGAAAAUUCAGUAUACAGCCAAAAAGAAACUGAAUUUAAUCCAGGAAAAGAGAGGUCUCUUUUCCUUUGAACACUGAUUAAGAUCUCAUUUAAAAUAUCAAGGAAUUGUGAUCAUAAUUUUGAGGUUACCAGUGCAAAGUGAUGACUCCAGAGACAAAAUCAUUUGAAAACAAGUUUUGAUAGGUAAUUAUCCAAAGAAAUAUGUAUUUUCCUUCUAUAGAACUCUUGAGAUGCUACUGAGACUCACUAAUGUAGGCCUGAAUAAAUUAAAAAAAAAAAAAGAAACUGGAAAUUAGGAGUCCUUUAAGAGGACCAAAUUAGAUAUCCAUUAAGCCAAAAUUGAAAUAAAAAUAUGAUAGCCAAGACUAAAAUUCCAUCUUCAUUCCACAGCAGAACUUAUAAAGGAAAAGGAAGACAAAAAAAAAGGGGGGAAUAAAGAAAGAAGUAGUUCCUAGCAUUUUAUUUAUAUUGAUUUUUGUCUAUGAGGUAUCUAACCAAGCUAAGGAAAGUCAAAAGUACAGAAAAUACACCACUGGCAGAGUAAGGAAGACUUAAGAAAGAGAGAUAUUCUCACAAUUCUAUGUUAUAUGGUACCAUAACUAGAUAAAAAUAAAACCCUUUUAAUGUGGAUACCAGAAUGACAGAAAUUUAAACCAUAUAUAUAUUUUGUACUCUUUAUCACUAAUAAUGAUUUCAUAAUUUCCAAUUAAUUUUAAACCUCAGAGGAUGUUAAAUAAUGUUAAAUAAGGGGGGAAAAAAGUGUGAUUUUGUAUUCCAAAUCAGCCAAAAUAAAAGAUUUUAUCUCCAAAAAUGUAAAUGUACUCUCCAAGGUACCUGUUUAUCUCUUGGAAAUAUUAAGAAACAUUUCUGAAAAUCUGAACAGUAUCUUUAAUGUUGUCAAAAGAGAAAAGAAGAGUGAUUUUUUUACUAUAAAAGAAAACACUGAGGUUUGAAUAAUCUGAUUAAUUGCAGACAUGAACUUGAGAAGAUUUUUUAUCUUACAAUUUUUGGAAAAGUUAACGUGAAGAAUUAUGCUAUCUUCUGUCAUGCCACUUCUUCACACUUAAUGUUUUCUUUCUGUUUGUUUAACCCCUUUUCCUUUCAUUUGAUUGUGAGGUCCCUGUGAACUGUAUCUGGUAUAUAGAUAUAGUUCAGAAAUAUUUCCAAUUCUGUGGAAUCCAGCAUGGCAAAGAAGCAUAAUCUCAAUGUCACUUGGUGCUCCAUUUAGCACUACCACAUGGAUUAAAAUAGCAUUAAAGGCCAUGUAAAAGAUUCAUGAAUUGACUGACAGAUCAUGCAAAAAGCUUUUAAAUGAAGAAAUCAAAAAACCUCCAUUCCCACUCCACAUUUUUAGUUGAGCUUUGUGGAUCUGGUAGUUUUUUCUUCCUUUGGUGACCUGGACGAACAAGAUUAAUACCCAGUAAAAGCUGUCUGUAACAAAGGUAAAUUGGAAAUAAUUGAGAGGAUAUGACAGGUAUGUAAGAGUAGCUCCAAACAGAGAUAGAUGCUGUCCUGGGAAGCAAUUACUCUGGGAAGGAUUUAAGGGCUGUGAGGGGAGGCAGUGACUAACACCAGUCCCCAGUGGAAUAAGGCUGCACAAAGGGCCAGAGAUGGGUGGAUAUAAAAAACAAGUAAUGAGAGGGAUGGAGGAACAGUUUUACCUCAGUCUGUGGCAUCAGUGAGACAGAUGAUGUAACACUACACACCACCCUUUGAUCCCCAUAAAUAGUGACUACUGAGUAAUAACCAUAAGAACAACUCAGGGCAUGAGGAAAAAAGGCUGCUUGGUGAGAGACUGAAAGACUUCAAUCUGUAUCAUUUCUAACAAAAAAUAAUGUAUCAUUAUUGUGUGUCUGCACACAUACACGGAGACAAAAUUGAUGGAUAUUAAUGAUCUUUUUAACCUAUGUAACAAACAUAAUUUAUAAAUUAUGUACAAAAUAAAUGAGUGCUAGUAACUAACAAGUGAAAGGUCUGGAGCCAUCAUCCUUCAAUAGUUUCAGAAUCAGGACCUUCCUGAAAUAUAAGAUUUAAUAUAACAUAUUCUAUUGGAUUUCAGAAAGAGAUGAUUUUUAAUGGCCUAAGCAUACAAGAAUAAGAGAAAAAUACUCCAGGUCACCUCUUGUUCUUUUCUGUUCUUAACCACCAUGAAGCUGAAUGCCUUUACACAUUCUGAACAUUUUAACACUUGCCGUAGACUUUGUUAGAAAAUACCUGCCUUCAAAGAAAUAAAAAGCUAAAACAUGGACCACAGCUAAUUGAAUAGUGUGAGGUAGUGUGAGACUCAUAAUGACAGACCUGACAGGUAUUUUCUAGGGGAAAAGUAGGGAUCACUGAAAAAUAUAUAUUACUAACCAUGAAGAAACCUUCAUUGAGGCAAGUGAUCCACUGAGGAGGCAAUUUCUUUCCCAGAGCUCACUGAGGCCACUGGAGGUUGGGACUGCAUGGGUUCCACCUCUAGACAACAUUAGGGAACGAGGAUCCCCAGGAUGGGUUCUUCUUCCAUGCCACCUACCUGGCACCAGCACUCACUCAGCAUUGAAGGAAAACCUGUCUCCAAGAAUUAGUGUGACAUUUCUUUUGAUUUCACACGUAUUGUAAGUCAAGUUCAAGGAACCUGCAAACACCAACAUCAUCCUGGAAUUUAAAGGUCUCCUUGAACCAUUAUUUAGGAAAAAGUCUCCAUUUCCCCCUGUAAUUCUUUUGGCUCUUUUCUCUCUGGUCUUGAAUGCUGAGACACAAUCCCUGUGGUUUCCCCAAUACAGAGGCCUGACACAAUGACUCAUAGCUGAGCCAAGCAAUGAACCUGACUCAUAAACAACAUUGAUUUAAGAAUAAUUACUAUCUCGUUCUAUCUCUCUCUCGCUCUCUCUUUUUUUUUUUUUUUCCCUCUCUUUGGAUGUGUUUUUUCAUCCUCCACAUUUUAUGUGCUACCUUUCAUUCAGAUAAUUUCCAUGGUAUUCUUCUUGCUACAGUGAAGAGAUGCAGAGGGCUUUCUAGGUCAGUCUUUCUGCUGAAAUUACGAAGGAAUGAUUGCCUCACAAGCAAAAAAAAAAAAAAAAAAAGCAAAUUAGCUGAUACCUGCUGUAAGGCUUAUUUCAAAGGUCAUGGCCUAGUGAUUCUAUUAUUUUCCCAAGAAAAUCAACUGGAAGAAAUGUAGCUAAGAUGUUAAAUGUGGAAGCAUUGUGGAGUUCCAGUCCAUGAAAUACAAAACAAUUCACGAAAGGCGUGCAGUGUUUAUAACUAAAGGCAGGGAUCAAGGCAUGUUCAAAGCAUGCAGAAGAAAGGAAAACAUGACUAUGCUUUCGCCCUCCCCCUUUUUUUUUCUUCAGUAUUUCCCUAUCCUUUGUCUCAAUAUCUUUUUCAGCAGUGAUUUAAGAUUUAGGCUUUUGCAUCCAUAAUCCAGCUUUCCCUGAAUUAGUGUUGUGCUUCAUAAUUAGCACUGUCUCUAUCUCCUUUUCUCUGAUUGUGCAUCUGUUUCCUUCUGUUUCUUGAAACUUUUUCUACCUUUUUAAAAAGGUUUUUAAAAAAAAAAAACAAAAAACUUGUACCUUUCCUUCUCUUCUCAAUGGUGUCCUGUGCUUGAGCUCUCAGGCAAGUUCACCAGAGGUUGCUACAAGGAUUCCUCUCCUCUAUUAAAUAUUCAGCACUCAUACAAAUAUUAUCUUUUGCUUGAUCUACAGGAACUUAUUCAGCUUCAGGACAGAGGCACACCAGAAUAGAACAGAAAACUGUCUGCUAAAUUCUGUGUGAUGUUUUUCCCUUCUCCCUACUUAUCCAGGGAUGUAACAUGGAAUGUAACUACACAUUUUUGUCCCUCAAUCAUGAGUGUUGCUGUCCCUACACAGAAAGAGUCAGACCUCUUUUUUAAGGAACAGCAAAACUGGUGUGAGUUAAGCAGUGGAACUGGAUUGUGCAUUGUCCCUUCCCAUCUGCUCUGUAUCCAAUCUCUACUCCAGCAGCCAAGAUGAAUUACUGAAGAGCAGCAACACAUCUUCUGCCUUUUUCCAGCUCUGACACUCAUGAAUCUUUCCUCACUGACUCACUAACCAAGCAGAAGUCUACCUGGUUAUGCCACUAAGUAAAUUUUCCAAUGGGCUAAAUAAAUUAGCUGAUGGAGAGAUUCCGUGGGCACAAGAACCAGCACAAAGUGCUGGUUCAUCACCCACCCAUAGCUGGGGUGGCCCAAUCAGGACCCUCCCUUCCAGAGGAAAAUUGUCACUCUGCAUCUCAGUAAAUUAUAUCCCAAACAAGAUUGAUUCAAACACAAUUACCAUUUCCUUGAUUUUUCUUUCUGCAAUCUUAAGUGGUAUUUUUUAUUCAGAUCAUUUAAUUGAUCUGAAACCAUCACUGACUCAUAGCAGGAGUCAUGCAAGCAGAUCCCAUUCCCUGGUGCUCUUGCCUGUCCCUUUGCCAUCAUCUUCUCAAUUAAAACAAAUAAAACUGCUUUUUCAGCCACAAAAUAAGAAACAGACUUGAAUUAAAAAAAAAAGCAAAAAACAAAACCCAAAACCAAAACCAAACCCAUCAUAAAUUUAGAAACUUAUUAUUUCUUAGUGAUUCUUUUCUUUGGUAGGUGAGAGAAGUGUCACUGAUGAAGAUUCUUUAAUAGAAUGAAAACAAAGAUAGUUAAAUUCAUUUGUAUCACUGUAGCCUUUUUUUAAUAUUGAUUACCCUUAAACUUGAUUCUUACUGGACUGAUGCCAGGGGUUUCAGAAACACUGGAGGGGGUGGAGGUGGUAGGGAGGGUUGGAAAAAGAGGUAGAUGUGUCCAAAGCUCAUGAUUUUUUUCCAUUUUAACAGUGAGAAGGCUGGAGCUUAAAGUAAAGGUUUUGAUCCUGGUGUAAUAUACAAUAAAAAGUACCUUAAAGUUCAUUCUCUCCUGUAGUCAUGGAUACAGACAAGAAAUAUACCAGAACGAUUUUCCUUAAAAUUAACACUACAUUCACAUAAUAUUUUG